ensembl:lncRNA
UGGCAGCCGCAAGUGGGGUACCCCAUCCUCACGGUGCUCUUAAAUGCACAAAGGCCUUUAUACUAGGGGUAGCAGGGUCAUUGGCAAAGGCUUGUGCUUUGGCCCUGGCUGCAGUUGAGGAUAUCAGGGGAGCCUCAGGGAUGUAGCGAUGCAGGGGCUAUUGGGCCCCAGGGCAGGAUGCAGUCUGGUGGGGCUGGCAUUUCAAAAUAGUGCCUUCCUGUAACUGCUUAUGACACAGCAGGUGAGUGGAACUCAGUGCGCUGCCUCUCUGGAGGUGUGCUGCUUCCUGGUCUCCGGGUGGCUCCCUGUGUUAGCCUCAGGGCCUGUGCGGAUCGUGGGGUUCUCCCGUGGCUACGAUUGCAGGAGUCUGUGGAGGACAUGUGGGCUGCUGGGGUCACUGACUACUACGUGAGGGAGCCUGGAGAACGUUUAUUGCAUUCGAGAGCCUGUCUAGGCUCCCAGCUGGUCCUGGCUGAGCAGACUGCCCCAUUUCCCUCUUCUUCGCCUCCCAUGUUUCCUGUCACUUAGUUUUUGAAUUCCAGUGUUCUCUCUAAUGUGAUCUGUUUGACCUGUGAUUACCUACUCACUAUUUCAGUUCUUGUUUGUGGAGGAGGUGGGUACCAGGUGCCUCUAGUCAGCCGUCUUGAAACUCCCCUCUAACUUUUUCUUGGAUUUUUGAUAACUUCCCAGGUGAUGGUGGUUCUCAUUUGUCCAAGGAACACACUUUGAGAACCACUGGGCUAGAGUUUGGCAGACCCAUCAGAAAUGUUUGCAUGUAUCUGUGUAAGAUAAAGUACAGAACUAAAUGCUGAAAAUGGAGUUAAGGAGGAGGGUGGUUUCCACAGCUACAGAGGAGCUGUAAUUGGCAGGACUCGAUCCCAGACCAGAGUGUGCAGGUGAAGGGGAGGCAGGAGUCUUGACUGGUUUCUAGAUUCCUAACGUUGCUAGGCGGAUGGAGAACAGCGGUGCCUUUAUCUCAAUAUGUAGCAUAAAGGAGAAGAAGCUGGCUGCUAGUGUUGGGGCGGAACUGAUCCAUGUGUGUCAUUUUAGACAUGUCAAAUGGAGAUUAUGUGGACAAUUUAAAUGGAGAUUUUUUUUGGAAAGUAGGAGACUGCCAAGUUGAAGAUGCAGACGUGUAUGUUUCUACAGGAGAAAUUAUAGGUUAUAAUGUGAAGAGAAUAAGAUACAGAGAACAGAACUGUAGGUUAUGCACAUAUUUAAGGUGAAAUCAGAAUAAUUCAUCUUCAAAAGAACUGAGAAGAAAUGUUAGGAGCCCUGGAAAAGAAGUUACCGUAAGGGUGUGAUCAACAUGUCAAUACUCUAGGGAGGUCAAAUGAUACAUGGUUUGAAACGUGCCUAUUGCAUUGAGAAACCAGAAAAUGAUAGAAAACCUUAAUAAAAGCAUUUUCAUCAAGCAGCAUGACUGGGCCCGGAUUGCACUGACUUGUGGUUAGAAACUGGUUUUCAGGACAGAGUAUACACCUUCUGCUUCUCUGAUACUAAAUUCCUAUUUUUUAAGCUCUCAAGAGGACAAUGCUAUGGAUAGAAAUACUUCACUGUACUAAUAGGUUCAUAUUCUAGUUAUAACCUCAUUUUUCUAGGUGGGAUUUAGAGAAAUGUUUAAAGAGUAAAUUUAGAAUCAAAAUGUAUAUGUUGUUUUUUCUUUUGCAAAAGCAGCCUUUGGGAGAUACUGUGCCUUACCCAGAGGCUUUCAGAAAUGAUUAGGGCAGGACCGGGCAGCGGUGGUUUAUGCCUGUUAUUUCAACACUUUGGGAGGCCGAGGUGGGUGGAUCACCUGAGGUCAGGAGUUCGAGAACUGUCUGGCCAACAUGGUGAAACCCGGUUCCUACUAAAAAUACAAAAAAAAAAAAAAAAAA